rnacentral:misc_RNA from 1 species
GCAAACUUGGUCAUUUAGAGGAAGUAAAAGUCGUAACAAGGUUUCCGUAGGUGAACCUGCGGAAGGAUCAUUAUUGAAAAGCCUUGAUGGGUUUGUAGCUGGCCUUUAGGGGCAUGUGCACGGCCUGUCUUGACUUCUAUCCAUCCACCUGUGCACUUUGUGUAGUCUUCUUGAGGAUAUGAGUAAGUGGCCAAUUUCAGCCCAGGCUGGAUGUGAGGUCUGCCCAGUGAGUGAGGGCUUUCCUCUGUGUCAUGUAUCCUCCUCCCUCAGGGACUACGUCAUUUAUCACAAACUGCUGUAGUAUGUUAACAGAAUGUAAUUAUUUGGCCUAUGUGCCUAUUGAUCAUUAUACAACUUUCAGCAACGGAUCUCUUGGCUCUCGCAUCGAUGAAGAACGCAGC